UAGUCGUGUGUACAUGUGUAUAUUAUAUGAUAAUACUGAGGGUUAUCGAUUACAGUGUAUUGUAUGUAUAAGUACAGAGGGGUGCCGAUUACAGGUUGUUGUGAUCAGAAGCAAGAUCAUUGGAUAGUCGAUGUUUAUCUUCGUUUCACUGACCAAUCAGAGGGUAGCUUACAAGCAGUAGUGAGAACAUGUGCUAGUCAAUUCGGGGCAGUCGCCAUUUUUCCCACAAGGAGUGAGGUGCUAGCGAACAUGAUGGGCUAGAGCGAGGUUAGGAAGACUCCCCGGGGUCCAAGGUGGGGGUGGACUAGGGACCAUGCGGCAGGCAGCCGUGUGGCUAGUCACGUGACCUGAGACAUGUAAACAGUAAACAAAAACACGUGGCGGCUGAAGUUAUGAAGGGCCGCAGUGUGUAGUACUGGUUCUACGAUGAACUUUCACAACUAUAUUAUUGGUACAACUAUAUUAUUGGUACAACUCUAUUACUGGUACAACCAUAUGAUUGGACUACGACUGGUAUGAAGCUCUCAGUGGUGGUGGAUGUCCGAUGUUCCCCUACAGUUCGUCGUGGCCUUAUGAUGUCCGAUCUCUUUUACACCGAGGCGACUCCAGCAGUUCAUGGUGAAAGGAGAUGUAAUUCUGUGCGCCGGAGAGACAGUUGUUUGCGGAGGGACGUGUACUCAUGCAUUGUGCAGUGGACAUACUGCUUGCACUCUAUUACUAACAUACUGUAUAACUACAGUGAGGUGUGAACAGUCAAGGGGGUUAAUUAACACCAUUAGGACAGUAGGUUUAAUUACAAAGGUCUCUCAGUGAGAGUGUAUUUACGGAUGAUUUUGAGUAUCAUUUAUUUGGUUAUUAUGUAGCCUGUUAUGGGUAUCCGGUUAUUCUGACAUGUUGUAAGCUGGAUAAGAUUAUCUACAUGUAGUAAAUAUGUGAUAUUUACAUAUAGGCAGGAUAUCAAAGGAGCUCCUUGGUCAGAUAGGGACAGAUUAGUAAUACUUGUAACACUUGAAUUAUUUUUAUUAUUUGUUAUUUUAUUAAAUGUUAUCAAUUUA